rnacentral:rRNA from 1 species
UACGGGGGGAGCAAGCGUUGUUCGGAUUUACUGGGCGUAAAGGGCGCGUAGGCGGCCAGUGCAAGUCAGUUGUGAAAUCUCCGAGCUUAACUCGGAAAGGUCAACUGAUACUGCUCGGCUAGAGUGCGGAAGGGGCAACUGGAAUUCUUGGUGUAGCGGUGAAAUGCGUAGAUAUCAAGAGGAACACCUGCGGCGAAGGCGGGUUGCUGGGCCGACACUGACGCUGAAGCGCGAAAGCGUGGGGAGCGAACAGG